rnacentral:rRNA from 1 species
UACGUAGGGGGCAAGCGUUGCUCGGAUUUACUGGGCGUAAAGCGCGCGUAGGCGGCUUUGCAAGUCCGAUGUGAAAGCCCCGGGCUCAACCCGGGAUCCGCGUUGGAAACUGCGAGGCUUGAGUGCAGGAGAGGAGAGCGGAAUUCCGAGUGUAGCGGUGAAAUGCGUAGAUAUUCGGAGGAACACCGGUGGCGAAGGCGGCUCUCUGGAAUGCCACUGACGCUGAGGCGCGAAAGCUAGGGGAGCAAACGGG